UUUUUAAAAAUAUAUCAGUAACGCAAGAAAAUGACGGCCAGAGUUGCAGAUUUUUGCACUCGUUUAAGAAAUGCCUCCAGGUUUUGGCUGUGGGAGACCACAGCCCCGCAUAGUCAACUUUUAGAACAAAUUGCUAAACAGUUAUUUAUAACUGGUUUUAUUCAAGGCUACCAAACAAUAGAAGUUCGUAAGAAUAUUCGCGUUCUUAAAAUAAAUUUGAGGUACCGUUUGAAUCAGCCUGCAAUUAACUCUAUUAAAGCACUUUCCGUACCUUCUAGAAAGAUUUUUGUUUCAAGGGCCGAUUUAGCUAAUUGGAAUUACUUUAGCGAUACUUCAGUUUACUUAGUAAGUACUCAAGUAGGAGUACUUCAGCACACCGAAGCCAUUG